UGCCAGCAGCCGCGGUAAUACGGAGGGGGCAAGCGUUAUUCGGAAUUACUGGGCGUAAAGGGCGUGUAGGCGGCCUGACAAGUCAAAGGUGAAAGCCCUCGGCUCAACCGAGGAACUGCCUUUGAAACUGUCAGGCUAGAGACUGGGAGGGGGUAGUGGAAUUCCUGGUGUAGCGGUGAAAUGCGUAGAUAUCAGGAGGAACACCGGUGGCGAAGGCGGCUACCUGGACCAGUUCUGACGCUAAAGCGCGAAAGUGUGGGGAGCAAACAGGAUUAGAUA
rnacentral:rRNA from 1 species